GUGGUGACCAUCUGUCCUGGUUUGCCUGGGACUGACGGUUUCUGGGGACUCAGAACUUACAUUGUUAAACCUGGACACAUUGUUCA
rnacentral:miRNA from 1 species